GUAGGUGAACCUGCGGAAGGAUCAUUAUCACGUAUCCAAACGUAUAAACCAAUGUGCACCUCUAUUAUCCCUCCUUACUAGGGUCUCACAGAAGUGGCAGAGAAGUUGAUAUUCCGAUUCAUGGUCUUUCGGAAUUCUCUGUCGAGUGUGCUUCUGCACGCUACCUUCUUGAUCCGGGAGUCGUACUAAACCAUGCUUGUGUUUUACUUAACAACUUGUACCUUGAUGAACUAACUUUGGUUUCUUCUUU
rnacentral:misc_RNA from 1 species